GAGAGGGGGUGACUAGUGACCGAGUGAGGGAGGGAGUGGGUGACUAGUGACAGAGUGAGAGAGGGGGUGACACAGUGAUAGUAACCCCAUUCCUCCCUCUGUCACUAAUCACCACCUCCCUCACUCUCACUAGUCACACCCUCCCUCUCUCUGUCACUAGUCACACCCUUACUCACUGUCACUAGUCACACCCUUACUCACUGUCACUAGUCACACCCUCCCUCUC